AUUUUAACAGUGCCAAUUUUCGUAAUUCUUAUAGGUUAUCCGAGAUGGAGAACCGCCAAAGGUUCCGGAAAGUUCGCCUGCAACUUAUGCAAUGCUGUGUACGCGCAAAAACGAAAUCUCCAGUCCCACAUGAAGUCGCACACCGGUGAAACAUUCUGCUCUCAGUGCAACAAAAGCUACUCGACAAAAUCCAACUUUCAACUUCACAUGCAGCUCGUACACAAGCAAAAAGUGUGAAAGCUCCGAGCAUUAUUAGAUUUGAGGUUUUCAAGAACUCGGCCGGGCGAUACGAAUGCACCAUAUGUGGAGCCUCUUACAGUCUGAGGGUCAAUCUGAUGGCGCAUCGAAAAGCUCAUACUGGUGAAACUUACUGUGAAGCCUGCAAUAAAAAUUACUCCAACAAGCAGAACUUUCAGAAUCACAUGGCUCGAUUUCACGGUGCUAGUUUUGGCAAGGGUCGUGAUCGAAACACGCCCGGGUUCAGUGUUGAGGAGUGAUCAGCUUUCCCUUGAUAUAUCAGUUGCGCUGGUCACAGAAUCCUAUUUUGAUGCCUGAUUCUUGUAGAGUAACUGGAAUUAAUAAGAUCCGUCCGAACAGCAACUGCCUACGCUCAGUAUCAACCGGCUCAGUAAUUCCGAUUUUGACGUCAUGUACCGCGGUAGAGAGACACCCUUGGUUUCUUCCACCUUGAUUUUAACAGUCAGUGAAACACACAUUUGUCUGUGUCACACUAUCAAAACUAGCCAUCAAAAUAUUAAGGUCAGGUGUUGUGAUUGGCUUAUUCGAUGACUUGGACCAAUCACAGCACUUGACCUCGACAUUGUGAUGGAGUAUUUUGAUAGUGUGACACAGGCGAUUUGCACAGAUAACUCAACGUGGAACGCGGAUGAAAGCAAGGUGGAAGAAACCGAGGGUUUCACAAUCGCGGUGGAUGACUUCAUAGACCGAAUUUUUCAAAGCGCGAUGUCUCGGUUAAUACUAAUCGUAGCAAGUUGCUGCUCGGACGGAUCUCAUUUUUUUAGCUAUUCAACACGAAUUAAGUGUCAGAAUACGAUUCUGUGACCAGCGCAAAUGACUCAUGUUCUCCUUCAGCUUUCUUCAACCGUGAUUAACUCAGAAAUGGGGCAGAUGCAACUCACCCUGUAUCAUGAAUAAUAAUUGUUAGUCUUACAUUUAUUCGCUCAAUUAUUUUCGAAAAUGUUUUGUGCCAUCUUAUUUUUGUAAGAGUCUCAUCAGUGCCGCUAUUUUCAAUUUUACUAUGAUUCUUUGAUUCAUAAGAGACACUCUAUCAGAAUAUCAAACGCAAUAAUAAUGAUCAGUUUUGGGGGUUUUUUUUCAAUCAAUUUCGAGAAAAAUUGAAUUUUUGUCUAUUUUAUUUCUAUAAGUUUCUAAUCAGUCCAUCAUAUUUUUUUCGAAAUUCCGUUGAUUCAGUUGGAAAUUAAAGGUCAAGUUUCUUUGAUCCUCAACUUUAUAUUAUUUCGUGUUUCUAGUAUCAAGAUCUGAUCCAUGCUUUAAUCAAAAAAUUUCCACCUUUUUUUUGAAUUACUGAACAUCAUAGUUUCAGUUGACUUACUCCCUUCUUUAGACCCACCUUAUUCACUAUUAUUUGUUCAUUAUUUACGUAACUUUCAGUAUGUUUUUUGUUCUACUAUUUAUGCUCUAUUUCCUUUUAUUACUACUUAAUGAAAGAUACGCCAAUAUGUGCCGAGAUGUUAUCUCUCCGUUUUAUUUUAUUUUUCUAUCCCUCAAGUCUUGUAAUUUUGUAUUUUUCUUUUUUUCCUGUCUAAUUUUAAACUUGAAAUAAAUUUUAUAAAAGAUUUUAAUUGA